AGAGUUUGAUCAUGGCUCAGGACGAACGCUGGCGGCACGCUUAACACAUGCAAGUCGAACGAGAGAAGUGGAGCUUGCUUUUCUGAUCUAGUGGCGGACGGGUGAGUAACACGUGAGCAAUCUGCCUUUCAGAGGGGGAUACCGAUUGGAAACGAUCGUUAAUACCGCAUAACAUAAUUGAACCGCAUGAUUUGAUUAUCAAAGAUUUAUCGCUGAAAGAUGAGCUCGCGUCUGAUUAGCUAGUUGGUAAGGUAACGGCUUACCAAGGCGACGAUCAGUAGCCGGACUGAGAGGUUGAUCGGCCACAUUGGGACUGAGACACGGCCCAGACUCCUACGGGAGGCAGCAGUGGGGAAUAUUGCACAAUGGAGGAAACUCUGAUGCAGCGAUGCCGCGUGAGGGAAGAAGGUUUUAGGAUUGUAAACCUCUGUCUUCAGGGACGAAAAAAGACGGUACCUGAGGAGGAAGCUCCGGCUAACUACGUGCCAGCAGCCGCGGUAAUACGUAGGGAGCGAGCGUUGUCCGGAAUUACUGGGUGCAAAGGGAGCGUAGGCGGGAUCGCAAGUCAGAUGUGAAAACUAUGGGCCUAACCCAUAAACUGCAUUUGAAACUGUGGUUCUUGAGUGAAGUAGAGGUAAGCGGAAUUCCUAGUGUAGCGGUGAAAUGCGUAGAUAUUAGGAGGAACAUCAGUGGCGAAGGCGGCUUACUGGGCUUUAACUGACGCUGGGGCUCGAAAGCGUGGGGAGCAAGCAGGAUUAGAUACCCUGGUAGUCCACGCCGUAAACGAUGAUUACUAGGUGUGGGGGGACUGACCCCUUCCGUGCCGCAGCAAACGCAAUAAGUAAUCCACCUGGGGAGUACGACCGCAAGGUUGAAACUCAAAGGAAUUGACGGGGGCCCGCACAAGCAGUGGAGUAUGUGGAUUAAUUCGAAGCAACGCGAAGAACCUUACCAGGUCUUGACAUCGUAUGCAUAGCUCAGAGAUGAGUGAAAUCUCUUCGGAGACAUAUAGACAGGUGGUGCAUGGUUGUCGUCAGCUCGUGUCGUGAGAUGUUGGGUUAAGUCCCGCAACGAGCGCAACCCUUACUGUUAGUUGCUACGCAAGAGCACUCUAGCAGGACUGCCGUUGACAAAACGGAGGAAGGUGGGGAUGACGUCAAAUCAUCAUGCCCCUUAUGACCUGGGCCUCACACGUACUACAAUGGCUGUCAACAGAGGGAAGCAAAGCUGCGAGGUGGAGCGAACCCCUAAAAGCAGUCUUAGUUCGGAUUGUAGGCUGCAACCCGCCUACAUGAAGUCGGAAUUGCUAGUAAUCGCAGAUCAGCAUGCUGCGGUGAAUACGUCCCCGGGCCUUGUACACACCGCCCGUCACGCCAUGGGAGUCGGUAACACCCGAAGCCUGUAGUCUAACCGCAAGGAGGACGCAGUCGAAGGUGGGAUUGAUGACUGGGGUGAAGUCGUAACAAGGUA
rnacentral:rRNA from 1 species